rnacentral:tRNA from 1 species
GCGGCGUUGGCUCAGUUGGAUGGAGCACCCCACUACGAAUGGGGAGGUCCGAGGUUCGAGUCCUCGACGCCGCA